AAUACUCCUUUUACCUCUCCCAAUCGUGCUCUGUUCUUUCUUUCUCUAAGAAUCAAUUCUUUUACUUCAUAAAUUUCAGAUGCAAGCACGUACAUAAUUAAGUCCCUCACACCUCAAGCUUCAAGGUAAGUUAAGUUUCAGCCCUAAUCCUCUCCAAUCCCUCUCUAAUUCGUGCUAAAUUCCUCUCCAUUCAAAGGUUAUAUGCUGUUCUUGAAUUGCAUGUAUGGAAAAUCCAACCCAACACCGUUAUUCUUGAAUAUCUCCUACUACCUCUGUUCCUAAUUAUAAGAUUAUGUUUGACAAAAAUGUAUUAUUCAUUUACUUUGUUUUGAUCGUAUUUUUUUAAUAAUAUAUAAGUGUAAAUAUUAGCAAGUAAGAUCUUGUCCAAUUUGUUUUGCUGAGUAUUUUCUAAAUAUUAAGUUUUUAUAAUUUUUACUAAUAGAUAAUUAAAUAUAUUAGUGAUCAAAAUUAUACAUUGACGUGCGUGUAGUGGUCAAACAUAGUCUUAUAACUAGAGACGAAAACUAAUUAUCUAUCAUGUGUCAUACAUGGGAAAACGUUUACUAAUAGACAAUUAAGUUUUUAUAAUGUAGUUGUAUGUUUUAGUCUCUAGAAAAUUAAGAGCUUUUAGAAUUAAUUUUUUUUAAAAUAUUUAUUUUUAGUCUCUAUUUACAUUUUAUUAGGACUAUUUUGAG
rnacentral:lncRNA from 1 species